rnacentral:rRNA from 1 species
AGACCCGAAACCCGGUGAUCUAGCCAUGGGCAGGUUGAAGGUUGGGUAACACUAACUGGAGGACCGAACCGACUAAUGUUGAAAAAUUAGCGGAUGACCUGUGGCUGGGGGUGAAAGGCCAAUCAAACCGGGAGAUAGCUGGUUCUCCCCGAAAGCUAUUUAGGUAGCGCCUCGUGAAUUCAUCUCCGGGGGUAGAGCACUGUUUCGGCUAGGGGGCCAUCCCGGCUUACCAACCCGAUGCAAACUGCGAAUACCGGAGAAUGUUAUCACGGGAGACACACGGCGGGUGCUAACGUCCGUCGUGAAGAGGGAAACAACCCAGACCGCCAGCUAAGGUCCCAAAGUCAUGGUUAAGUGGGAAACGAUGUGGGAAGGCCCAGACAGCCAGGAUGUUGGCUUAGAAGCAGCCAUCAUUUAAAGAAAGCGUAAUAGCUCACUGGUCGAGUCGGCCUGCGCGGAAGAUGUAACGGGGCUAAACCAUGCACCGAAGCUGCGGCAGCGACACUGUGUGUUGUUGGGUAGGGGAGCGUUCUGUAAGCCUGCGAAGGUGGCCUGUGAGGGUUGCUGGAGGUAUCAGAAGUGCGAAUGCUGACAUAAGUAACGAUAAAGCGGGUGAAAAGCCCGCUCGCCGGAAGACCAAGGGUUCCUGUCCAACGUUAAUCGGGGCAGGGUGAGUCGACCCCUAAGGCGAGGCCGAAAGGCGUAGUCGAUGGGAAACGGGUUAAUAUUCCCGUACUUGGUGUUACUGCGAAGGGGGGACGGAGAAGGCUAUGUUGGCCGGGCGACGGUUGUCCCGGUUUAAGCGUGUAGGUGUGUGUUCCAGGUAAAUCCGGUUCACUUUAACACUGAGGCGUGACGACGAGGCACUACGGUGCUGAAGCAACAAAUGCCCUGCUUCCAGGAAAAGCCUCUAAGCAUCAGGUAACAUCAAAUCGUACCCCAAACCGACACAGGUGGUCAGGUAGAGAAUACCAAGGCGCUUGAGAGAACUCGGGUGAAGGAACUAGGCAAAAUGGUGCCGUAACUUCGGGAGAAGGCACGCUGACACGUAGGUGAAGUGAUUUACUCAUGGAGCUGAAGUCAGUCGAAGAUACCAGCUGGCUGCAACUGUUUAUUAAAAACACAGCACUGUGCAAACACGAAAGUGGACGUAUACGGUGUGACGCCUGCCCGGUGCCGGAAGGUUAAUUGAUGGGGUCAGCGCAAGCGAAGCUCCUGAUCGAAGCCCCGGUAAACGGCGGCCGUAACUAUAACGGUCCUAAGGUAGCGAAAUUCCUUGUCGGGUAAGUUCCGACCUGCACGAAUGGCGUAAUGAUGGCCAGGCUGUCUCCACCCGAGACUCAGUGAAAUUGAACUCGCUGUGAAGAUGCAGUGUACCCGCGGCAAGACGGAAAGACCCCGUGAACCUUUACUAUAGCUUGACACUGAACAUUGAGCCUUGAUGUGUAGGAUAGGUGGGAGGCUUUGAAGUGUGGACGCCAGUCUGCAUGGAGCCGACCUUGAAAUACCACCCUUUAAUGUUUGAUGUUCUAACGUGGACCCGUUACCCGGGUUGCGGACAGUGUCUGGUGGGUAGUUUGACUGGGGCGGUCUCCUCCUAAAGAGUAACGGAGGAGCACGAAGGUUGGCUAAUCCUGGUCGGACAUCAGGAGGUUAGUGCAAUGGCAUAAGCCAGCUUGACUGCGAGCGUGACGGCGCGAGCAGGUGCGAAAGCAGGUCAUAGUGAUCCGGUGGUUCUGAAUGGAAGGGCCAUCGCUCAACGGAUAAAAGGUACUCCGGGGAUAACAGGCUGAUACCGCCCAAGAGUUCAUAUCGACGGCGGUGUUUGGCACCUCGAUGUCGGCUCAUCACAUCCUGGGGCUGAAGUAGGUCCCAAGGGUAUGGCUGUUCGCCAUUUAAAGUGGUACGCGAGCUGGGUUUAGAACGUCGUGAGACAGUUCGGUCCCUAUCUGCCGUGGGCGCUGGAGAACUGAGGGGGGCUGCUCCUAGUACGAGAGGACCGGAGUGGACGCAUCACUGGUGUUCGGGUUGUCAUGCCAAUGGCACUGCCCGGUAGCUAAAUGCGGAAGAGAUAAGUGCUGAAAGCAUCUAAGCACGAAACUUGCCCCGAGAUGAGUUCUCCCUGAGACUUAGAGUCUCCUGAAGGAACGUUGAAGACGACGACGUUGAUAGGCCGGGUGUGUAAGCGCAGCGAUGCGUUGAGCUAACCGGUACUAAUGAACCGUGAGGCUUAACCUU